rnacentral:rRNA from 1 species
AGCGAACGCUGGCGGCAGGCCUACACAUGCAAGUCGAACGAACUCUUCGGAGUUAGUGGCGGACGGGUGAGUAACACGUGGGAACGUGCCUUUAGGUUCGGAAUAACUCAGGGAAACUUGUGCUAAUACCGAAUGUGCCCUUCGGGGGAAAGAUUUAUCGCCUUUAGAGCGGCCCGCGUCUGAUUAGCUAGUUGGUGAGGUAAAGGCUCACCAAGGCGACGAUCAGUAGCUGGUCUGAGAGGAUGAUCAGCCACAUUGGGACUGAGACACGGCCCAAACUCCUACGGGAGGCAGCAGUGGGGAAUCUUGCGCAAUGGGCGAAAGCCUGACGCAGCCAUGCCGCGUGAAUGAUGAAGGUCUUAGGAUUGUAAAAUUCUUUCACCGGGGACGAUAAUGACGGUACCCGGAGAAGAAGCCCCGGCUAACUUCGUG